rnacentral:misc_RNA from 1 species
UAAAGUAAGUCUUUCUCUUGUUCAGUUUCUCCUUCUUCUCUCUCAUCUUUGACGGAUCUUCUUAUUCUUUUUUCCUGUAAAUUUCAAUUCAUAUCAGUCAAACAGGUACUAAAAUACCUUAUUUAAAUCUUUCUCAUCAUUACAGGAUCCGAAUUGGCUCUCUUUCUCUAAAACUGGGGUAUGUGCCGUUGGUAUAAUUUCGUUAUCUUGAGAAGCCGGUGGAAUUUUCAAUGGGGUCCUUGGUUGAGGGCCCUGGUUAUUUACGCAGUUGGAGUUGAUUGCACAUCCGCCUGGAAUUUUCUUUGUGUCUGCAGCAUCAGUUUCUGAUGAUUCCCAUCUUGAUUUGCUUCAAUAGGGAAAAUGUGACUCAUGAUUUAUUGAUGGAUUUGUGGUUGUGGGUUUCGUUUCAAUUGAGUUUUUAUUAUCCUGAUUGUAGAUUUUACUAGCGAAAUUGUCAUGCAUUGCUG